rnacentral:tRNA from 1 species
UGAGUUGUAGUUCAGUGGUAGAACACUCACCUAGCACGUGCAGGGUGCUGGGUUCAAUCCUCAGCACCGCAU